rnacentral:lncRNA from 1 species
CUAGCUGGAGUUUGUAGAUCUCUUUUUCCCUGUUACUGCAAAGAGGAUGACAGCCUCAGUGAUCUCUGGUCUUUGGUUUACUCUAUUCAGACACGAAAUUCUAGAGAAAGAAUCUACGUGGGUUCCAGUGGGUCAAAAGUCUACCAUUAUGUGAUACAGCUGUGACCAAGGGUACAGAAUCCUGUAGCACAGAUAGAGCCUUUGGAGAUCCACCCCUGUGCCAAUGCAAAGAAACUAUUAUUCUCUACAUCCAAAGAUGCCUGAACUAAUAUGAUUCUGAUUCAUUGUCCGUUCUGCCCAGGGCAUUGGCUUCCACCUAAGUAGCAAGCCGAUGUAGAGAGAAGAAAUGAGAAAAUAUCUGAGGAAAAUGAAGCAAAGUCUGCUCUACUUCUGAACUUUCAGGACAUUCAAGAUUGGUUUAACUGGAAGCCAUGGGAGGUGAUGCUGAUUAGUUUACAUAAAGAAGGAUUUAUGCAAUGCCAUUGAAUGAGCUCCUAAAAUCAAAGGCAAACUUAUCUCUGGAGUUCAAAGACCAGGAGCAGAUGUCAAACAAGGGACCUCUUCAAAGAAACUGGAAGACUGCCAGCUUCUAAGAUUAGUACUGCCACUACAAUAAUUCUGCCACGUUCAGAGUUGGGCUGAAUCCAGAGGCUACUUCUCUAAUUGAAGGGUCCUAGUAUGGCUCCCUAAGUUCUUUAAUUUACUUUCCAUCAGCUGUUCCUCAGCAUGCAGGCUUUUCCAGCCACUGCUGGAUUGCUUGUACUGCUUCCUAUAUGCAAGAGUCAACAUUCUUAGUGAAUAAUAGAAAGGAAUGAAUGGUAAUAAGUUCAGGGAAAUUAGUUGCUAGAUCAUGAUGAGACUUCUUGUUUAUUUUGUUCUCUGUGUUUGUCGUACCCACCUAAAUUAGGUGACCCCCUUCUGUACCUGGCUCUCUUGCCUGUAUUAUCUAUCUUCCUCAGCAAAGUAUCCUCUGUGUUGAAUGGACCAUCAAAUAAAUGUUAGAAGAAAAGACACUUAAUUGUCUAUUUAUAGGCAAAUUUAACUGAUUAGAAUUAUGCUUCAACCUGCUAUUUUGGGGUUUGUAGUUAAUUCUUAAUUCUCUUUUUAAAAUAAAAAUUACUAGGUAAAAAGUUAAAUGACUUUUGUCUUCCUUUUUUUCUAGCUUAUGUUAUUCCCCUGAGCUUCAUCUUUAGGCCAUUCUUCAGGUCAGGUUUAUUGGCUUCAUAAUAUUUUUGUCAUUUGUUUCAUCUCCCUGGAAAUUUAUUUAGUAAGAUCCAUUGUUCAUAUUUUAGAUCUCUGUGCAAUGUUCACAACGUUUCUGAUCACAGUUUAAUUAAACUUUUGUCAC